ACGGGGUGCAGCAGGCGCGAAAACUUUACAAUGCGGGAAACCGUGAUAAGGGAACUCUGAGUGCCCGUAAAAUCGGGCUGUCCAUCAGUUUAAAAAACUGGUGAAGAGAGGGCCGGGCAAGACCGGUGCCAGCCGCCGCGGUAAUACCGGCGUCUCGAGUGGUGGCCACUAUUACUGGGCUUAAAGCGUUCGUAGCUGGUCUGUUAAGUCUCUGGGGAAAUCUACUGGCUUAACCAAUAGGCGUUUCAGGGAUACUGGCAGACUAGGGACCGGGAGAGGUGAGGGGUACUCCAGGGGUAGGAGUGAAAUCCUGUAAUCCUUGGGGGACCACCUGUGGCGAAGGCGCCUCACCAGAGCGGCUCCGACAGUGAGGGACGAAAGCUGGGGGAGCAAACCGGAUUAGAUACCCGGGUAGUCCCAGCUGUAAACGAUGCGCGUUAGGUGUAUCGGUGACCACGAGUCACCGAGGUGCCGAAGAGAAAUCGUGAAACGUGCCGCCUGGGAAGUACGGUCGCAAGGCUGAAACUUAAAGGAAUUGGCGGGGGAGCA
rnacentral:rRNA from 1 species